rnacentral:tRNA from 1 species
GCCGGAUAGGCUUCAGUAGGUAGAGCAGGGGACUGAAAAUCCUCGU